GGUGACAGGUGUGUGCGUGGUUGUCCUCACCUCGUGUCGUGAGAUGUUGGGUUAUGUCCCGCAACGAGCGCAACCCUUGUCGUCUUUUGCCCGCACUUUGGGGGGGACCCCUGGGAAAACCGCCCGGUAAAACCCGAAGAAAGGGGGGAUGAAAUCCAAUCAUCCUGCCCCUUUUGUCCUGGGCUACACACAUGCUACAAUGGGCGGUACAAAGGGGAUCCAAACCCUGGAGGGGAACCAAACCCCAAAAAACCGUUUCAAUUUCGAAAUGANGCUGCAACUCUCCCGUGUUAAACUUGAAACCCUUNUAAUCCCCGAACAACAUGCCCCGGGGAAAACCUUUCCCGGGCCUUUUAACACCGAAAAA
rnacentral:rRNA from 1 species